AUUGAACGCUGGCGGCAUGCCUUACACAUGCAAGUCGAACGGUAACAGGCCUUCGGAUGCUGACGAGUGGCGAACGGGUGAGUAAUACAUCGGAACGUGCCUAGUAGUGGGGGAUAACUACUCGAAAGAGUGGCUAAUACCGCAUGAGAUCUACGGAUGAAAGCCGGGGAUCGCAAGACCUUGUGCUACUAUAGCGGCCGAUGGCAGAUUAGGUAGUUGGUGGGAUAAAAGCUUACCAAGCCGACGAUCUGUAGCUGGUCUGAGAGGACGAUCAGCCACACUGGGACUGAGAAACGGCCCAGACUCCUACGGGAGGCAGCAGUGGGGAAUUUUGGACAAUGGGCGCAAGCCUGAUCCAGCAAUGCCGCGUGCAGGAUGAAGGCCUUCGGGUUGUAAACUGCUUUUGUACGGAACGAAAAGCCCCGGGUUAAUACCCUGGGGUCAUGACGGUACCGUAAGAAUAAGCACCGGCUAACUACGUGCCAGCCGCCGCAGUAA
rnacentral:rRNA from 1 species